rnacentral:misc_RNA from 1 species
GAUGAAGAACGUAGUGAAAUGCGAUAAGUAAUGUGAAUUGCAGAAUUCAGUGAAUCAUCGAAUCUUUGAACGCACAUUGCGCCCCUUGGUAUUCCGGGGGGCAUGCCUGUUCGAGCGUCAUUUCAACCCUCAAGCUUCUGCUUGGUCUUGGGCCGUGCCGGCAACGGCUGGCCUUAAAACUAGUGGCGGUGCCAUCGAGCUCUACGCGUAGUAAUUCUAUCUCGCGUCUGGGCUUCGGUGGACGCUGGCCAGCAACCCCCAAUUUUCUAUGGUUGACCUCGGAUCAGGUAGGGAUACCCGCUGAACUUAAGCAUAUCAAUAAGCGGAGGA